rnacentral:rRNA from 1 species
AGAAUGACUCUCGGCAACGGAUAUCUAGGCUCUUGCAUCGAUGAAGAACGUAGCGAAAUGCGAUACUUGGUGUGAAUUGCAGAAUCCCGUGAACCAUCGAGUCUUUGAACGCAAGUUGCGCCCGAAGCCAUCAGGUUGAGGGCACGUCUGCCUGGGCGCACAU